rnacentral:misc_RNA from 1 species
CUCCCACCAGUCGGUUCAAUGCUCGUCAUGCCUUCUCCCGUCUCGGGGUCCCAAACCCUAACAAUGUGGCUGUCAGCAGUUAUUAACUUUGUUCGUUCAGUGUUGAGCGUUUUAUGCCACUUAAUGUUUAAUAUUGGGCUCCCAUACAUAUGAUCCUUUAUCCGCAUAGGUUGAGAAGAACGCAAAUCAUAAACCAGAACCUUUCCGUCACUACUUCCAACAGCCAUGAGGUAACCUCCAUCUCCCUCGAACUCUAUUGCAGUAACCUCCUGGUCCCCACCCCCAGCAGGUGCAACAGCAUUUAUCCUACCAACUGAAGAUCUUACUCUCAUAUCAAAGCAUUCGAGCGCACCGUCCUCCCCUCCACAAGCAACUAGCCCAUGG